ensembl:lncRNA
GGGAGAAGAAAGCAAAUGAAGUGCACUGCUCUGAGUUAUGGGGCUUUGAUUCUGCCCUUUUAAAUCCUAAAUGCAGUAUGUAGUUUCCAGGUUGUAAAUAUUGACAUUAUAUCUAAUCACAUAGAACAUUUUUAAAUGCAUGUGGUUGAAUUGGAAGCAUCAUAAUGGUUUUGUUGUUUAUCAACAUUGUGUUUUAAAGGAUAUAUGUAGAACUUUGAGGUAACAUGACAACCUAGAAGCUGCCUACAUGUGUCUCAUGAAGAAGAAUCAGAAUAUGAAAAAUGGAUGCUGUCUAUAGAGAACCAUUGAAACACGUGUGAUGAUAGACAAGGUAAAGAACAACCUUAUGCGGCCUUUGUGGAGAGUGCUAGCAAGCUGAAAAAUAUAGGUGGCGGAAAGGUCUGCCCAGACAAUGAACUGCACAGGAAAAGAUAGCCCUGCAUUUGAUGGUGGAGAGCAAUUAACCCUAGAGGUUGAUAAUCUUGAGUCUGUGAUUAUUAGAAAUCAACCUCUGGAACCAACUACUUCCCUUCACUGUUGGAAGUCUUGAGAAUUUUGAAGAUCCAGAAGAAUCAUGUCUGGAUGACCACCUAGUUUGAAGGUGUCCAACUCAAGCCUCUGCCUUCUGUAAAGAUCUUGCACAGUACUUGUCAUCCACAUACACUUUGCAAUGGGUUGAUCAGAACUUAGAGAUUUGUAAAGUGCAAAUAUAGUCCUGGGCCUAUAGAAAUCUCUAGUGCAGUAGCUCCCCUCAUGCACAAAUAAACGAAGCUACAUAAGUGGGCAUGGCUCUGGUAGACUUCAGAUAGUUGUGAAGUGCAGACCAGACAACUUAAACUGGCCUUUCCUUGAUCUGUGCAUCAGACACAGUCUUAAAUACUAGAGAACUUAGAAACCACUCUAAUAUUUCUUCUUUUUUUUUUCUUUUUGCCCUUUGACCCCACCCUUGACUUUUACCAGCAAUUACCUUACUGUACUAAAAAGAAAAAUUUUGUUUCUAUUUUUAUCCUCUUUCAUAAAUUCUCCUAAUUUUGUUGGAGAUUUCCAUUGUUGGCCAAUCCCUUUUCCUUCUUUUGUUCUUUCCUCUGCCACUAUCACUUUUUUAUUG